GACGAACGCUGGCGGCGUGCCUAAUACAUGCAAGUAGGACGCACAGUCUAUACCGUAGCUUGCUACACCAUAGGCUGUGAGUUGCGAACGGGUGAGUAACGCGUAGGUAACCUGCCUAUUAGAGGGGGAUAACUAUUGGAAACGAUAGCUAAUACCGCAUAACAGUAUGUAACACAUGUUAGAUGCUUGAAAGAUGCAAUUGCAUCGCUAGUAGAUGGACCUGCGUUGUAUUAGCUAGUAGGUAGGGUAAUGGCCUACCUAGGCGACGAUACAUAGCCGACCUGAGAGGGUGAUCGGCCACACUGGGACUGAGACACGGCCCAGACUCCUACGGGGGGCAGCAGUAGGGAAUCUUCGGCAAUGGGGGGAACCCUGACCGAGCAACGCCGCGUGAGUGAAGAAGGUUUUCGGAUCGUAAAGCUCUGUUGUUAAGGAAGAACGAGUGUGAGAAUGGAAAGUUCAUACUGUGACGGUACUUAACCAGAAAGGGACGGCUAACUACGUG
rnacentral:rRNA from 1 species